UAUAUAUUGUGGUUGAAACGCUCGAAAUUUAGUUAAAAUUUUUGGAACUUUAGCAACAUGCAAGGGAUUUUAAAUCAUGACCAUGAAGCAAUAAAUCAUUACAAUUUAGAGCACUCUCUCGAAAUCGCUAUAUGUAUAUAAAAAAAAUAUUAAAACACUCUACAACCAAACAAAAUUUACAAUUCUAAAGUGAAUUGCGCUGAAGAACAAGUUUAGAAAGUUGUGAACUUAACCUUAACUUAUUCUUUUCUUGUAUUUUGUAUGCAGUUUCCGUCACCUGAUUCCCCAUUUCUAUGCCAAUAACCUAAACUAAAACCAAACAUUGAUAUUGCUAAAAUAAUACAGCGCAAAUUAUCCAGCUAUAUAAAGUUUUACUUUGGUGAUAUGAAAAUUCCCCAAAGAUACAAUGAAAAAAUGACUAAAAUCCAAAUAUUUAUUUUCUGAUCUGAACAAUUUUUUUGUGUGAAAGCUUAGUAUACAGCUGUCGAGAAAAUCUGAAGACAUUUUUUUUUUCUGUUGCUUGAAAAAAAUACUUUGCUUUUGCUCUAAGUUGUUCUUGAGAAGUGUAAACUGUUUUAAGAAAAUUUGAUAGAAGAAAAUUUCUUUUCAAUUUCUUGAACUUUUGUUUCUUUUGAGAACUGUAUACUAUGCUUUAAGAUGAAAUUUACCUUUAAUCUUCACACCCAUUUUUCUGUUCAUGGAUUUCCUUACAUUUAACAAAAAUCAAUUGUACACAAAUAUAUCUACAAUUUUUUUUAAUGAUUCGCUUUAAUUAUAUUAAUUUAAUGAUCAUGAAAAAUCACUGCAACAAUUAAAACUGCGGGUUUUAAAAAGAAAAAAAUAUUUUAUAUAACCUAUAAUAGUAUUAGAGUAAUCAGUUAUAAGGAUGCACUGGUGACGUCAAGUCCAUAUUUAAUACUAUGACAGCAAAAAUAGAAUACUAAUUUAAUUGAUUUGUCCCUAAACAAAGAGUUAAAGUAAAUUAAAUAUAAAUAAAUUUACA